rnacentral:rRNA from 1 species
GACGAACGCUGGCGGCGUGCUUAACACAUGCAAGUCGAGCGGUAAGGCCCUUUCGGGGGUACGACGAGCGGCGAACGGGUGAGUAACACGUGGGUGACCUGCCCUCAGCCCUGGGAUAAGCCUGGGAAACUGGGUCUAAUACUGGAUAUGACUCCACGGUGCAUGUCGUGGGGUGGAAAGCCUUGUGCGGCUGAGGAUGGGCCCGCGGCCUAUCAGCUUGUUGGUGGGGUGAUGGCCUACCAAGGCGACGACGGGUAGCCGGCCUGAGAGGGCGACCGGCCACACUGGGACUGAGACACGGCCCAGACUCCUACGGGAGGCAGCAGUGGGGAAUCUUGCGCAAUGGGCGAAAGCCUGACGCAGCGACGCCGCGUGAGGGAUGACGGCCUGUGU